UUUGGAACUAGAACUUGCAUUUAAUGGAGGGGAGACAGAGUUGUUCAUUAAUAGUUGGUGUGGCUACAAAUUUUAUGAUGUUGAUUUUGGUUGGGACAAACCUUUAUGGGUUAGUCAAAUCAACCUGCCAGUCAAGAAUUUUAUUCUACUGAUGGAUUCAAGAGACAGUGGUGGAAUAGAUGCAUGGGUAUAUUUAAAGGAGCAAGACAGGAAAGCUUUUGAGCAAGAGCUUGUUGACCAGAUAGCAAUUGGAUCUGCCAAAUAGUUGAAGAACAUGUUGUCAAGGGUUGUUAUGGGUGUAUUUGGUAAGAAGGAAUUUUUAAAGUAAUUUUAUGAUAACUAAUAAAACUAUUUUUCUUGUAAAAUAUUUUUCAUUAAAAUGGAAAAAGAUAACUCUCUUCGUUUGUGUUUUUAUCAUUAGUCAAAUCGACCUGCCAAUCAAGAAUUUUAUUCUACUGAUGGAUUCAAGAGACAGUGGUGGAAUAAAUGCAUGGGUAAAUUUAAAGGAGCAAGACAUGAAAGCUUUUGAGCAAGAGCUUAUUCACCAGAUAGCAAUUGGAUCUGCCAAAUAGUUGAAGAACAUGUUGUCAAGGGUCGUUAUGGGUGUAUUUGGUAAGAAGGAAUUUUUUCAAGUAAUUUUGUGAUAACUAAUUAAACUAUUUUUCUUGUAAAAUAUUUUUCAUUAAAAAGGAAAAAUAUAACUUUCUUCGUUUGUGUUUUUCUCUGUUAGUCAAUUUGAAAUAAUUUCUAAAUGUUAGAGACGGUUCGAUAGUAUAAUAAAGUUUCUUCUGCAAUAAAGAUCAAAUAUAUUUUCCUUCCUACCAAACACACGUUAUAUCUAUGUUUCUUCUGCAAUAAAGAUCAAAUGUAUUUUCCUUCCUACCAAACACACGUUAUAUCUACUUUUGUUUCUUUUGAAAAAAUAUGUUCCUCCCAUAAGUAUACAAGUGCAAUACUUUGGGAUAUGGACUAAAUAAAGUUAGACGCACUUUGAGAACUCGUAUGUACAAUUUCAAUAGUUUGGACGUCGGUAUUGUGACAC
rnacentral:lncRNA from 1 species